UGGGGAAUAUUGCACAAUGGGCGAAAGCCUGAUGCAGCGACGCCGCGUGAGGGAUGACGGCCUUCGGGUUGUAAACCUCUUUCAGCAGGGACGAAGCGCAAGUGACGGUACCUGCAGAAGAAGCACCGGCUAACUACGUGCCAGCAGCCGCGGUAAUACGUAGGGUGCAAGCGUUGUCCGGAAUUACUGGACGUAAAGAGUUCGUAGGCGGUUUGUCGCGUCGUUUGUGAAAACCAGCAGCUCAACUGCUGGCUUGCAGGCGAUACGGGCAGACUUGAGUACUGCAGGGGAGACUGGAAUUCCUGGUGUAGCGGUGAAAUGCGCAGAUAUCAGGAGGAACACCGGUGGCGAAGGCGGGUCUCUGGGCAGUAACUGACGCUGAGGAACGAAAGCGUGGGUAGCGAACAGG
rnacentral:rRNA from 1 species